UGACUCGUACCCACGGCGCUGCGUACAUUUAACCAUCACUUUCUCUGACGACUCAUGAACAUGUUGACCGGCCGUCGCCAACGAGCUGCUGAAGAAAGUCAUGUGACAAAAACCAACACAAAUCCACGUUAGUGACGACGGCGCGGCUGUCACCUUUUGUUCAUCUCGUCACACUUCACCUGCCGUGAGGCGUUCAUCCCAAACAACAGAAACAUCCCUUUCAUCAAAGCCGAGGCGGUGAAGGGAACGUCGGCGCUCCUCUGUGACAGACGGAUAUCAGCUGACGGAUGGCCCGGCCGGUCAGAGGUCAUUACCUCACGGGCUGAUGGGAAACACUCAGAGUGCAGGUGGACAGAAACCUUUCCGGGUGGUGUUAGUGAUGUCUACGUGGCUCCGCCUCUGCUCCGUCCUGAUUGGCUCUGACAGGUUGAUCAAUAACCCACCGAGGAUGAAGGUUAAAUAAAUUUGUGCUGUUGA